UACGAAUUCAUGGUCCGGUGAAGUGUUCGGAUCGCGGCGACGUGGGCGGUUCGCCGCCGACGACGUCGCGAGAAGUUCACUGAAACCUUAUCAUUUAGAGGAAGGAGAAGUCGUAACAAGGUUUCCGUAGGUGAACCUGCGGAAGGAUCAUUG
rnacentral:rRNA from 1 species